rnacentral:lncRNA from 1 species
GAAGAAGGUCUUAGCAUCACAGUAUGUCAGGAAGUUGAUGAUGCUCCGCCUGGUCGGACCGGUCCAACCAUCGCACAUGAUGGUUAGCCCAUAUAUGGGCCACUUGCUCUUGUAGGAGUCAAUCCAAUUCUCCAGCUCCUCCUUAUUGUUGUCAAGAAGCUCACCGUAUCUGUCCUUCGGGCCUGGAGGAGCUACACCGGGACCGGCAGCUUGUAUGGCGGCAAUGGUAGAUCUGUAGUAUGUAUUAUGUGCCACAUUCGCUGGGAUGUGGCUGAAGUGAAAUCAGGAUCCAAUAGCUCGCCACAUAGUUUUCUUCUUAUCCUUCAUCCACAUUGUGUCUACCCUCUGCUGCCUUGAAUCUCUACUGGGGAGAGCAUGCGGAUCUACAUCAUGAAUUGUCGCUUCUUGUAGAAUUCCUCUAGAUGACUUCUUUCGGCUACCAAAACUACCCAGCAUAGAUGAAAUCCGGCCACAUUCUUUGCCGACGCCAUCCCUGACUGAAGUUAUCUUCAAGAACUCUGGAUCUUUUCUAGUGCUCCCAGAACCGCCGCCCGACUCGUAUGAAGAGGGCCCAAAUCGAGCCCUAUGCCUGGCCACCUCCUCCUGCUGCCACUGAUCAUCCAGGCUUGCAUGCAUGGCCGCCUGAAUAUCUGCCUCCUCCUCAUCUAGAUCCUCGACCUCCUCU